CGCGAAACGUUUGUUCGCCACCACAGCAACUUAACUAAAUGUAUUGUAUUUAUUGUAUUUUAUGAUAAAUAAUUAAUUGUUUUUAUCAUAAGUCAUAAAAAUACAAUAAAUACAAUAUAUUUAGUUAGGUUUCUGUGGUAGCGGACAAACGUUUCGUG